GACCCAAUCGAACGCCACUAAUCACGUAAUCUAAUCUAAUCUAACCCAAUCAACGGAAAUACUCUAGGCAUCGGCCAUUAUGAUUGGUGGUGUCCAACCAGGUCUGUGCGCAAUUGGGACACUCCCUUUUUUAUGACUAUUUACUGACUGUUAGGCGGAAAAAGGAUAGUCUUGACCCAUUUUUAUGAGUGCUUUAAAACCAUCUGAUUAGUGUGGUUUAUUCAAAUUGGCUUUAUUUAUAAACGGACAAAAUUACGUGUCAUUUCACGUAAUUUCUCGCUUCUAACGUCACGAUUUCAAUAUGAGCGUGGCGAGUACUUAGAAGCCUUAAGAAAAAACUACUAGGUGGUUGUACUAGUACAGUAUUUGUGGGAUGAUGGACUCGCGGUCAGUUUCCAGGACGGAUUUACAGUCCGUCGUAGACGUGAUGAAGGAGAUUAAUGGGCCGCACAGCAUUUAUGUUGAGUAGUAAAAUUUAUUAGGAUGUGGUGACUGACUUUCUCAGUCGAGCGCAGAGACAAGUGUAAGUUUCCCUCUGCUACUCGCAGACAGUACGCACACAAAAAGGGUCUAAAUUCCUCACUCUGCGCUAGGGUAGAAUGGUGAUCGUUAUUCCCCAUAUACCCCCCCACCCCUCGAAUGACGAUUUAAUUUUAAUUUUUAAAAUAGCGGUAAUUAUUCAGUUUAGGUACUUCACGUCAGAUUAUUAUGAAACUAGUCUUAUUUGAUGCGUUUUCACUCGAAACGAACGAAUCUGGCAGGAAAAAGUGUUGCUCUGCCUGGCGAACCGAGAUAUCAAGCGUUAAAGUUGGCGAUUAUACAGAUAAGAGUACCUAUCAAUCGGACGAUAUGUAGCGACUUGGGCAUGCGCUAUGGUCACGUUAGCAUGCACGGCGGUCGCACGCGCAUGCUCAACAUACGAAAAGUGCGCGAAUUUAAAAUAUAAAUAUAAAAAAAUAUUAGUGAUUGUAGUGAUAAAUGCAAAUAUUUAUCAAAUUAUUGUACGGAAAGUACAUGCUUUAAGGGAGGAGCGGCGAAGUCCACCCCCCUUGCAGCAUUUGCUUUCCGCACCAUAAUUAGAUAUGUGUAUUUUUGUGUGUGCAUGCGUGCAUGCGUGCGUGCGUGCGCGCGUGCGUGCGUGCGUGCGCGCGCGCGUAUGUGUCCGGAAAGUUGUCAAGAUAGUAAGGGGAAAGAUUUUAAUAUUAUAUUUUUAAUAAUUUUAAUUAAUAUUAUAUUUUAAAUAAAAAAUAUAUAAAAUAUAUUAUAUAUAUAAAAUAUAUAAUUUUAACAUUUAAUAUAAUUUCUUAUAACAUUCUGUGGGAAAAAAUUAUAUUUUUUUAAUAUAACACGGUGUUCUAAUAAAUACUAUAAGGUGUAGUAAACGUGUUUAAAACGAUACAUUUUAAAUAAACAUAAAUAACGUGUCUUUAUGCAGUGCUGGUAGUUGUUUUAGAAGUUGGUUUGCACUGGUUGCAGGCUGAUUCUCGCAGGUGGACUUCGGACGAUACAGUUUGGCAAUAAUGUCAAAGAAGACUUUUAUCCGCUCUUCUCGAACAUAGGCACAUUUAAAAAGAUAUUCGGCUAAAUAUCCCUCGAAAUGUUGACUUUUCAUUCCAAAUCUUGGGAUAUUUCCACGAACUUCUUUCCAAACACGCUCUAUGUGUUGAGUAUGAGCACCUAUAAACAUAAAAUAAUAUAUUAAGACAAGAGAUAUUAUGAUUGUCUAUAAAAUACAAAAAUACAAAAAUACGUACAUAUAUAAUAAUUAUAAAAAUAAUUAAUUAUAUUAUUUUUAAACAUUUCUUACCUGUUUGAGGAUUGACGAAGUUAUAAGAGUGGUUCACUGUCAGAUGUUGGAAGCCUUCGUUGUUUAAACAAUCGUAAGACUUCCAACAAUCUGACACGAUGGUCGUAUCUGGCAGCACCCACUCCUUUAUGCAAGCCAGAAGUGUCUUCAUUGAUCAAUCCUCUACAGGGACGAUAAAAAUCUUCUUAGACUCUUGCUCGUAUCGUCCAAAAAUCCAUUGGUCUUGACAAGUCGGCCACGAUUGUAUUUUCUCUUGCCAAUUUUUGCUUCAUCGAUUUCUACUGUGUGUCCUGAGUGACCAAGCUUCUCACUAUGUUGCUCAGCCCAGAACACACACACUUUUAAAUAAAAACGGCAUUAUGAGUUUCAUUUAUUUUAUAUAUUUUUUAAAAUUAAAUAUAUUAAAAUAUAUUUACCUCUUGGCAAAAAUUGAACCAAUCAACAAUUGUUGCCGUCGCCACGCCAGUUUCUGCCUUCGUGUCAUCUUGACGUGGAUGUCGUAACAUUAAAAAACAUGCAACAAUUUGACAUAUUUUUUCCACGUCAAGAUGACUGUUUUCAAACCAUGUGCCUGACCUGCCACUUUUGACGAAAUUGCACUGCAUAUUGACACGUUUUUUAUGUUUGUUUUUUAUCAUAUGUUGUUUUGUACAUUUAUACAUUAAUGUUUCUUUAUUUAUGCGGACAUUGUUUCCACAUUCACUACACUUUAUUGUAUAGAAGACUGUGCUGGAUUAAAAAUUCGAAUAAUUUUUCCCUACAGGGAGAAAUCAAAAUAAUAAAAUCGAACAGUGUUAGCGGCAUAAUGCUUGCCUACUGAGGCACGUGUUAUAUUGUGUAUAUAACUUGAACGACUCAUUUGUUUAAUUUUGUUUCGUUCAAAUUUUGUGCAAAGUUACUAAAACGCAUGCGCGUGUGGUCACCGUGCAUGCUAACGUGACCACAGCGCAUGCUCAUGUCGCUACAUAUCGUCGGAUUUACAGGUAUCCUAAGCUGUUUAAUCGCCAACUUUAACGCUUGAUAUCUCGCUUCGCGGGGCAGAGCAACACUUUUUUCUGCCAGAUUCGUUCGUUUCGAGUAAAAACGCGUCGAAUGAGACUAGUUUCAUAAUAAUCGGACGUGAAGUACCUAAACUGAAUAAUUAGCGAAACAUAUACUUAUUUACUACUUAUUAGAUAGCCAACGCGACUUUUGGAGCGCACGUAUGUUCUUAAUACUGGCUGUUCGGCAAGUCGGGGGCACGGUUUUACUUAUAGAAUUACAAAUUGAAAUUUCGCUUACUUCCGGAGCGUUUUUUAAGUCUUGGACGUGCACAUGUCGGAGCCAGCGUCCUCGCGUGUCGCGUAAAUCCACAAUUACCGGGGAGAUAAUACGUCUCACUUCUAACGGUCCAAUGUAUCGUGGAGCAAGUUUUGCAUUGAAUUCGGCGGCUUUAUUUGAUAGCGGGUACUCACGUUUCCAAACUUGUUCGCCGAUUUGCGGUCUCCAAUUUCUUCGGCGGAGAUUGUAGUGCGUUUCUUGCUUUUGAAAUGCUCGGGCUUGAUUUAUGCGGACUACCUCGAAUGCUUCUUCUAAACGACGGCGCGUAAUAUGCGGUGUCGUGUUUUCGGCAUAUCGGCGAUCCUGCGGAUGUGGAAAAGCCAAUUCGCGGCCGUGAUUUAAAUAGGCCGGGGUAUAACCCGUGGCUUCGUGCUUUGCAGUAUUAUAUGCGAACUGCAAGGGUAGUAAAUAUUCAUUCCAGCGUCUAUGAUUUUUCCCCACAAAUUGAGAAAUCAUAGUUUUAAUGGUUUUAUUUGUUCGCUCGACAGGAUUACAGUGAGGCGCUGUUACCGGUGUGGUGCGAUGCUCGAUUUGAAAGGUGCGUAAGAGUUCGGCCAGCUGUGCCGAUUUUAAUUGUGUUCCGUUGUCGGAAAUGAUUUGAUCGGGAUAUCCGUGACGGUGUAUAAUAUUUUCGGCGAUUGCUCGGGUGAUGACUGGAGCCGUGGCGCGACGGAGUGGCUUUAACUCUAUCCAUUUACUAAAACGGUCUUGCAUGACCAGGAGCCAUAUAUGUCCGCUCACUGAUCUCGGCAAUGGACCGACUAAAUCCAAAGUUACUUGUUUCCAUGGCGCGGUUACUGGAGUCGUGUGUAAAUUGCCAGCUGGUUUCAUUGAUGUUAUUUUGUGUGCUAAGCAAGUCGGGCAUUGUCGUACGUAUUUCGUGAUGUCCUGGAACAUACCUGGCCAAUAAUAUAAUCUGGCCAUCCGAGCAAUCAAGUCUUUGUUACCCCGAGAUGACCGGCUGUAGGAUCAUCGUGGUGCCGCUGAAGUAUGGUCAUGCGUUCUUCCUUAGGAACACAUUGUUUCCAUUGCUCGGCAGGAUCGCUUUCACGCAAAUCUAAUUCGUGCAUGAUGUGCCGAUAAAGUUGUCCUUGCUGCACACGGAAGUCCGGGUAAUCCGCUGGUUUAUUUUUAACUCCAGUUAAUACCCGGCGGUACCAGCUGCAUUUCGGAGUUGUUUGCGUACUGCAAACUUCUGGUUGCCUGGAAAGAGCGUCGGCUACUCGAUUAAGACUGCCUUUGCGAUAUUGAAUGUCAAAAUCGUAUUGCUGUAACUCAUAGAGCCAGCGUCCUAAGCGUCCGGUCGGUUCCUCCAGUUUCUGUAGCCAUCGUAAUGAUUGAUGGUCAGUUAUUACGGUAAAGGCCUUCUAAAUAGCCUCGCAUCUUUUUUAUGCCCCAGACGACUGCUAGGCACUCCAAUUCCGUGGCGCUAUAAUUUUUCUCUGCGCCAUUUAAAGUGCGACUGGCGUAAGCUAUUACUCGUUCGCCGCCUUCUUGAUGUUGAGUCAAGACGGCUCCGAGGCCGUACGUACUAGCGUCAGUUUGAAGGAUAAAAUGCUUGCUGAAAUCCGGACAGGCUAGGACUGGUGCGCUUACUAAUGCCUCCUUUAGUUGCUGGAAGGCUUUUUCUUGUUCCUCGGUUCAGGUCCAUUUGACAUUCUUUCCAGUUAACUUAGUUAUAGGUGUUGCGAUACUUGAAAAAUUCGGUACGAAUCGGCGAUACCAAGAAGCCAUCCCCAGGAAUUGGCGUACCUUGCGUAUCGUGGUCGGAGCAGGCCAGUUUGCCACGGCGCUUACUUUCUCAGGAUCUGUCCGGAUGCCCUGGCGAUUUAUUAUGUGGCCCAAAUACUUUAAUUGCUCCCUGCAGAAAUGGCAUUUCGCUGGAUUAACUCGCAGCUUAGCCUCUCGUAGUCGUCGAAACACUUCACGAAGAUGUUGAAGAUGUUCUUCGAAGGUCUGACUAACGAUGAUGAUGUCGUCUAGGUACACCAGUACAUUAGGUUCCAGUUCUGGACCUAGCACUUCGUCUAAGAGACAUUGAAAGGUGGCUGGUGCCGAAUAGAAGCCAAAAGGCAUCACGCGGAACUGCAUUAAUCCUCUUCCAGGCACCGUAAAAUCCGCAACAGGUCGACUCUCUGGAUGUAGCGGGACCAAUAUCCGCUCACGAGAUCGAGCGUAGACAGGUAGCGGGCACCUCGUAAUUUGUUGAGAGUAGCGGUUACAUGAGGAAGCGGAUAGGCGUCCUUUUCUGUAACCUCGUUUACCUUUCUAAAAUCGAUGCAAAAGCGAUGAGUUCCGUCUUUCUUCUUUACAACCACAAUGGGUGAACUCCAGGCACUGCGGGACGAUUCGAUGAUGCCAUCAUUAAUCAUUUUUUCGACUUCUUGGUCGAUUACGGCUUGCAUUGCUGGGUUUUGUGGUCUAUACCUUUGCUUAAUCGGCUGGGCAGUUUUCAACCGGAUGCGAUGCUGUGUUCGAUCGGUCGAAACUUGGACUUUCUCGAAUUUUCGCAACUCAUAUUCUAGAAAUUCUUUUAAUCUUUGCUCUUCUUCCGGAGUUUGAGUGCUCAGUCCUUCUGCCGUUACUUUCGUUGUAGAUGCCACGUCUCUUAAGUAGGCUUUAGGCGGCGGCCUUAGCAUUGAUCCGAGCUUGGCCCAUAAAUCCACGCCAAUCAGCAUCGCACUCUUAAGAGAAGGCAUUAUAAGAAAUGUGGGUUAGCUUACGGUAUCAGAAGGUUCCACAAAUAAUUGAACGUUAUAUGUUCACGUGUUCUUUAAUAGAAUAGCUCUUUGUUACAGAUGUGUUUUGUGUAAGUGUGAUCUUUCUCUUUGGUAGUGGCUUAGGCGGCGCCCGGAGGCGCCUAA